rnacentral:rRNA from 1 species
GACGAACCACACAAACGUUAUUCGGAAUUACUGGGCGUAAAGCGCACGUAGGCGGGUUUGUAAGUAGGGGGUGAAAUCCCUGGGCUCAACCCAGGAACUGCCUUCUAGACUGCAAGCCUGGAGGUCAGGAGAGGCGAGUGGAAUUCCGAGUGUAGAGGUGAAAUUCGUAGAUAUUCGGAGGAACACCAGUGGCGAAGGCGACUCGCUGGACUGAUACUGACGCUGAGGUGCGAAAGCGUGGGGAGCAAACAGG